GACGAACGCUGGCGGCGUGCCUAAUACAUGCAAGUCGAGCGCAGGAAAUCGACGGAACCCUUCGGGGGGAAGUCGACGGAAUGAGCGGCGGACGGGUGAGUAACACGUAAAGAACCUGCCCUCAGGUCUGGGAUAACCACGAGAAAUCGGGGCUAAUACCGGAUGGGUCAUCGGACCGCAUGGUCCGAGGAUGAAAGGCGCUUCGGCGUCGCCUGGGGAUGGCUUUGCGGUGCAUUAGCUAGUUGGUGGGGUAAUGGCCCACCAAGGCGACGAUGCAUAGCCGGCCUGAGAGGGUGAUCGGCCACACUGGGACUGAGACACGGGCCAGACUCCUACGGGAGGCAGCAGUAGGGAAUCUUCCACAAUGGACGAAAGUCUGAUGGUGCAACGCCGCGUGAACGAUGAAGGCCUUCGGGUCGUAAAGUUCUGUUGUAAGGGAAGAACAAGUGCCGCAGGCAAUGGCGGCACCUUGACGGUACCUUGCGAGAAAGCCACGGCUAACUACGUGCCAGCCGCCGCCGUAA
rnacentral:rRNA from 1 species